CGCCCUGUUCCCUGUCGAAUCGGCUCGCUACUGUUGCUCCCGACUGCACGCAAGGCUUCAGUAUUAGUAUCGUUGCCGCUGUUUUUAAUUAUUUUGGGGUCCUCUGUUUCCCUUCCUGGAGGCGUGGAUUUUGUGAAAUCCCUCCACCCCACUAGUCACGGAACCAGGCCGGACCAGCCCUUACACCGUUGACAUGGUGCCAACUGUUAUAGGCCGUUUGUAAAUUUUGGUGGCAUCUGUACUAAGCAAAAGUGACACAGACUCAAUCUUCCAAUUAAUAAAGCAAUGUAAGUCAAAAGCACCAAUUAAGGAGCUGGUUAUGUUUCAGCUCAUAGGCUCUUCAGAUUGGAAGAUAGGACAGUUAUGAAUUUGAAAAGAAUGGCUUGCACUGCAAAGAAGAAUUCCCAUAAGAAGAAGUAAUCUCUGAGGGAAGAAGGGGUCCUGGAAAGAAGAUGGAGAUUAUGGCUAGAGGAAAAGUUCUGGAAGUGCCUGGAAGUGGGGCAAUAUUCUGGGUGGAGGCCGGUCACAAGCGGUGUCCCUCAGGAGUCGGUCUUGGAACCGGUGCUCUUCAACAUCUUCAUCAAUGACAUAGACGAUAGCAUCGAGUGCACCCUCCGCAAGUUUGCAGAUGACACCAAGCUGAGUGGUGCAGUCAAUACAUUGGAGGGAAGGGAAGCCAUGCAGAGGGACCUGGACAGGGUGCAGAAGUGGGCCCAUGAAAACCUAAUGAGGUUCAAUAAAGCCAAAUGCAGGGUUCUGCACUUGGAUCGGGGCAAUCCCAGGUAUUUAUUCAAACUGGGGGAAGAUUCCCUUGAGAGCAGCCCUGCGGAGAAGGACUUGGGGGUCCUGGUAUAAAAGAAGCUCGACAUGAGCCUGCAGUGUGUGCCUGCAGCCCGGAAAGCCAACUGUGCUCUGGGUUGCAGUAAAAGAGGAGAGGCCACCAGGGAGAGGGAGGUGAUUGUACCUCUCUACUCAGCUCUUGUGAGGACCCAUUUUGCGGUUGUGUUCCUUCUUGGACUAAAUUUAAAUUUAGAUUCCGACAGUAUUUUAUUUAAAAUGAAGAGAUAAAAGAAAACUUUAAUAACAUUAUUUAGAAAACUCCUGAAGACAAAGUAUGAGAAAAAUGCAAAAUCAUAGAGUGCAAUUGUUGUUAUUGUUGUUGAAAAAUUUCUAUCUCAGUGUUACUCCUCUGUAAUAUAGUUGCUUUUGUCAUCUGUAGCCUCUCUAGUUCUGCUGAUGCAAUUUUCAGAAAACUUUGUUAGAAAUCAUGAGUAUCUUUGAAAUGUAUCAUUAAAAAUAGAAUUAAACCUCUCUCCUUACAGAUACUUAUUCAGAA
ensembl:lncRNA